rnacentral:rRNA from 1 species
GACGAACCGUGCGAACGUUAUUCGGAAUCACUGGGCUUAAAGGGCGCGUAGACGGGCGACCGCGUCGAUGGCUGAAAGCCCCCGGCUCAACCGGGGAACGGGCCUCGAUACGGGUCGCCUCGAGUGGAGGAGGGGGACCUGGAACUGCCGGUGGAGCGGUGAAAUGCGUUGCGAUCGGCAGGAACGCCUGUGGCGAAAGCGAGGUCCUGGACUCUGACUGACGUUGAGGCGCGAAAGCCAGGGGAGCGAACGGG